rnacentral:rRNA from 1 species
GUAGGGAAUAUUGCGCAAUGGACGAAAGUCUGACGCAGCGACGCCGCGUGAGUGAUGAAGGCCUUAGGGUCGUAAAGCUCUGUUGAAUGGGAAGAAAAAAAUGACGGUACCAUUCGAGGAAGGACCGGCUAACUUCGUGCCAGCAGCCGCGGUAAUACGAGGGGUCCUAGCGUUGUUCGGAAUCAUUGGGCGUAAAGGGUGUGUAGGUGGCCAUGUAAGUCAGGUGUGAAAGCCCCGGGCUCAACCCGGGAAGUGCACUUGAUACUGCGUGGCUUGAGUACCGAAGAGGGUAGUGGAAUUCCAGGUGUAGUGGUGAAAUACGUAGAUAUCUGGAGGAACAACGGUGGCGAAGGCGGCUACCUGGUCGAGUACUGACACUGAGACACGAAAGCAUGGGGAUCAAACAGGAUUAGAUACCCUAGUAGUCC